rnacentral:lncRNA from 1 species
AAAACUACAAAUUCUUUACAUAAGGAUAAAAUUAUAAUUUAAAACAAUUUACUCCCAAUCCAAGACAAAGUAAACAAAUAAUUGGGAUUCUGAUUGACAAUCCAUACUUUCAUUUAGUCUAAGUAAACACUCUACUCCCACUCCCACUCCACACUCCUAAUCCCAGGAUUCCCACUCCUCAGGAUUCCCAAUCCAAUCCAAAAAGUAAACGCAACAUAACAGUAUUCAACAAGAAAGCUUUUAGCAUGUCAAAGCCAUAUUAGUUGUAUUAUAGUUGCGGGAAGAAAAACUGUAUUUUCUAGGUAUUUUUAGAUUAAGAAAUGAUUUAUAUAUUAUUCUAACCUAAAUUUUGUACUUAAAUUUUAGACUCAAAUCUUAAACCAUUGAUUUUAAACAAUCUAACGGUGGAUGAUAGUCGUGAUUAAAUACUACGUUGAAUUUCAUUGUCGACCAUUGAAUUGUUUAAAAUUUGUGGCUCAAAAUUUACGUAAAAAUUUUAAGUUAAAAAUUGAAGUAGCUCGGCCCAUAAGAAAUUAUAAUUUAUAACAAGGGCAUUUUCAAAACUAAGGCAAGUGCUAACAGUCCUAACUCCCGCAAUAAUUUAUCCUAAAAGAAACCGAAUUAGGCAAAUUGUGAGCCCCUUUCAAUUGGAAAGAGCUACUACAGAGUAUAGACCUGAAGUGAUCAGAUCAAUGCUAAUGUAAUUGCAUGUAUAGGGUUCCCAGUUCACUUCCCAGAGUCUGCUCACAUAACUUUGACAUGCUUUCUGCAUAUAUAUAGCUGCUGAGAGCUGGAGUACGCCAUGAAUGAUAACGUAAUUCUUAAUAUUUUUAUAUUGAUUGAUGGAUCUACUACUGAGAAGAAAUAUAGCUAAAAACAAACUAUCGUACCAUGCACAUGCAUUUAUUGAUGUUAAUCUAAUUGCAUAUAUUGUAGUCAGUGGUCACAAACUAAUGGUGCUGCGUCGUUGCUCUUUCUUUUUCAUCUUUCCAGAAAAGGAAUUUGGCUAAAAAUAACAGAAGAAAACAAUAACAAAUUAAAUAAAGUUCGUACAUAUCAUAGCUGUAUUCUAGACAAGGAAAAUAACCAAGCUACCUACUCUAGCAGUCUCAUUGCAAGUUACAACAGCUGCGCCAUGGCUCUCUUGAACACAGUGUGUCCUGAUCCUAGCAAUCAAGCAUGCAUGAAUGUAUACAAUCACUCAGUCUGAAAUUAAUCCGAUCACAUGCAUUUUCUAAUCGGUUCGGCUAAUAUAAUAUUUGGUUAGGGUCAGAAUCUAUUAGAUUGGAGGUGGUAUAUGGGCAAAAACUGCAAAUUGUACUUGUUUUGGUUCCUGAAUACAUAAAUGGGAAGCCGGGAAGGGCCAUCACUGCUCAAUUGACUGACGGGAGCUGCUACCUUACGAGUGGGGUUCACGGGUCGGUUGUGUGAGGGGCUGUACCUUGCGUCUUACGUUAAACCUAAGGUGGCAAAAUCCUUGAGUUAAUUGUGGCGGAAUCAGUUCCCGACAAGACAUCACAUGGGCACAUCCGCACAUGUACUAGAAGCCCAAGUCAUAAUUUACUGGACCAUGAAAGAUGGUGGGUGGACCUUAAUUCAACAAAAGAUAAAAAGAAAUGUCCUUUUCGGUGUGCGGUGUGGGGGAGUGUCAUUAUUGUUUAAUUACCCUAACAAUUAUAAAAUAUCAAAUUAGUACAAGAAAUAUUAUUAUUUAUCAUCUUAUUAUUAUAUUUUAUAAAAUCUGUUAUUUUAUUAUGUUUUCCUUAGUGUCUUUAAUUGACCAAUUAAUUGACUAAUAUUUCAAUACUGUAGUGCUUUGCUUUUUUUGGACAAAAAUUUUUAUUAAAAGGUAAAAUUAUUAUUUUAUUAGUUAAUUAACUAGUCAACUAAUAGUGCUAACAAAAAUGUAGUAAAAUGAUCGGUUUUGUAAAAAUAAAUUUGUAAAACCAUAGAUUACAAUAUUUUUUCUUGUCAUUUGAUAUAUUGCAUUCUU